UACGGGGGGGGGCAAGCGUUGUUCGGAAUUACUGGGCGUAAAGGGCUCGUAGGCGGCCAACUAAGUCAGACGUGAAAUCCCUCGGCUUAACCGGGGAACUGCGUCUGAUACUGGAUGGCUUGAAUCCGGGAGAGGGAUGCGGAAUUCCAGGUGUAGCGGUGAAAUGCGUAGAUAUCUGGAGGAACACCGGUGGCGAAGGCGGCAUCCUGGACCGGCAUUGACGCUGAGGAGCGAAAGCCAGGGGAGCAAACGGGG
rnacentral:rRNA from 1 species